GUUUAAAUAGUUUAAAUAAAACGUCGGUUUGUGGAUCCGAAAAUAUGAUAAAAUUCAUUUUAAAUC
rnacentral:tRNA from 1 species